rfam:Halolamina sp. CBA1230 CBA1230_contig02, whole genome shotgun sequence.
GGCGAAUGGUGAGUACGCC